ACGCCCCGCCGCAUUCCCGAGGCGUUUCGAGAAAGCCCCCGUGCGAUUAUCGAGACGCACUGAGAGCGUACACGCUGGGACCCGAAAGAUGGUGAACUAUGCCUGGUCAGGUCGAAGUCAGGGGAAACCCUGAUGGAGGACCGAAGCGAUUCUGACGUGCAAAUCGAUCGUCCGAACUGGGUAUAGGGGCGAAAGACUAAUCGAACUAUCUAAUAGCUGGUUCCAUCCGAAGUUUCCCUCAGGAUAGCUGGCGCUCGAGAAACAUGACGGUCCUCGGAUCGCCAUUCGCACAGUCUCAUCCGGUAAAGCGAAUGAUUAGAGGCAUUGGGGCCGAAAUGGCCUCAACCUAUUCUCAAACUUUAAAUGGGUGAGAUCUCCUUCUUGCUCGAAGAUGAAGUAGGAGCUCGGAUGGGAGUGCCAAGUGGGCCAAUUUUGGUAAGCAGAACUGGCGCUGUGGGAUGAACCAAACGUCGAGUUAAGGCGCCCAAUGAACGCUCAUCGGAUACCAUAAAAGGCGUUGGUCGCUCAGGACAGC
rnacentral:rRNA from 1 species